rnacentral:lncRNA from 1 species
UUUUGUAUGCAUAAUCAGGGGCGAUAAGCCCUGCAUUUGGCCUUAAUAUGAUGAAAUAAAUAACUUGUCAUUGUUAUGCAUAUUAGCUAGGUUCAGCUAUGUGCGUAUGUUAUAUCAUCAAUCUGUCCCCAUUGAUUAUGCGUGUACUUUUCUCUUGUAUUAGCCUGAUGUAGAAAAUAACUGAAUUUUGUUUCUGUUCUUGCAUCGCAAAACCAACUUGGGUGAAACUGCUAUUGCCAAAUAGAUUGUUCUGAUUAUAAGGACCCUUUUUCCAACAUCGAGAUGAUGUAUUUGCAAACCUUAAUGCAAAAUGGUUAGUCAGUCUCAGCUCUACUUUCCAGGUAUGCCACAUCCAGAUUACUCUUAUCUUCUGUUUUUUCUUUUCUUGGGAGUAUAAUUUACUUCCUAUUUUCUGCCUGUUUCUCUAACUACCCCCACUAAAAUUUGUAGUAAUUAGGAUGCUAAAGAGGUAACAACGAAGGUAUCCACUCAAGGAUCGAGCAAAUGCAGUUCCAAUGCCUGGGGAUUUUAACUGUCCAUGAAAUAUUUCUCCUCUUAAAAGUGCAAUUUAAAAAACUAAUAUAUAAAAGCAAGGAAAUAUUAGACAUAACGAUUCUGAUUUAUUAUAUUUAGGUGGGCGUAUCAUGCACCAUACACCUGGGUUAGAAAUUGCAUUUCUGUCAUGCAAACUUCAGAGAAUGAUUGAUCUGCUUAUCCGUUGAUGUUCUUGUGAAAUUGUAUCCUUAUGAAUAUUUCCAGCCCGUGGGAACAUGGUAAAUGAUAAAGCCAAAAAAAUAGCCUUGAUGAAAAUAACUGACAGUGGUUCUGAAAUUUUACUGCAGCGUCUUUCUAAACUCACAACACUGAACUUGGUAUGUCUAUAUAAUAUGCAAAAACUUUAGUUUGCAGAAUGGCAGAUUUCAGACUUUUGGUUAGGAUGCUACAUGAGAUUAUAUGUAGAGACACCGGCUUAUAUUAUACAGAUUUCUUUUAUUAUUUGUUGAUGUUUAUGUACUGUAAAUGUAAGUCAUGGGCAUCCCAAAGAAACUUGUUCUGACCAUUGGCAUUUUCAUGGACCACCGACAGAAGAACAUGUAACUGGAGGUUAUGCAGUCUAAUGUCGACAGGCGCGAGAUACAACGCCAACCUGGCAAGCUUUAUCUUCCUA